rnacentral:misc_RNA from 1 species
GGAACACGGUACCUCAAAGCGAAACUAGCAUGGCAACUGUUAUGAACCCUGGUAUCCCCUAUGUGGGCGGAAUUCCCGGAGGGAUGAGGGACGGACGUCAAAUCGUCAUCAACGGGACGGUGCCCCACCACGAGCACAGUUUUUCAAUCAACCUACAAACUGGCCCAAACAUAAAUCCCCGCUCCAACACCGCCCUCCACUUCAACCCUCGGCUAAACGACAACUGUGUGGUCAGGAACAGCUACCAGCACCACAGCUGGGGAGGGGAGGAGAGGGGCGGGUACCAGCCCUUCCAGAGGGGGAUGCCCUUUGAAAUCACCAUACUUUGUCAGCAUCAUCAUUACAAGAUUUCCGUGAAUGGUAGACAUUUUUGCGACUUCCGCCACAGGGUCGAGAAACAUCACGUAAACACUCUGACGAUAGAGGGCGGUGUUCAGAUCCACAGCAUCCGGUUUGAUGGAGCACAUAGCCACGCCCACGGUGUAGGGGGAUUUCUUGGCCGCCAUGCCCACACCCCCGCCGCCCGCCGGAGCCUACAACCCGUCCGGAGGGUAUCCGGCCGGGGGAUACCCGGGAGGAGCACCCCAGCCUAUUUAUAACCCCCCGGUGCCCUUUACUACGGCAAUUUCUGGAGGCAUUUUCCCUGGUAAAAUGAUUUUCAUUAGCGGAGUUCCAAAUCCAAAUGCGGAGAGAUUCACCAUUAACUUGAUGUGCGGUCCCUACGACGGAAGUGACAUUGCUUUGCAUUGUGACGUACGCCUCCGGGUCGGCGGGGACUUUAACGUGGUCCUCAGGAAUUCUUGCCAGGGUGGUGGCUGGGGGGCAGAGGAGAGACACAGCCCAUAUUUUCCCUUCAUGCCCAAUGCCAACUUUGACAUGAUCAUAAUGGCAGAACAGCACCAAUUUAAGAUUGCUGUCAACAAUCAACACUUGCUGGAGUUCAGACACCGUGUUCAGCCAUUGAACAGAAUCGACACUUUGCAGAUCAAGGGUGAUGUCCGAUUAACUCAAGUCCGCUUUCAGUAAUGACGUCAUCGCCAGACGACGUAUGCUUCGGAACAUGUAGACAUUAUUCCAAACAUGAAUAUAAUAUUGUCAAAAUUGUCCGUUUUAUGUACGAAGCAUCAAUUAACAAUCAUGAAUUAAUUUUUUUUAUUUGUUUAUAUGAUGAAGCAUAAUCAAAACGAUUAAUGGGUUGUUUGUGAUUUUUUGUUAUUUGUACACUUAAAUAGAGAUCCAAUAAAACUACUAUACGCCUAC